UUUUGUAUUUUUAGUAGAGGCGGGCUUUCUCCAUGUUGGCUGGUCUGGUCUCAGACUCCUGACCUCAGGUGGGUGGAUCACCUGAGCCCAGGAGUUCGAGACCAGCCUGGCCAACAUGGCGAAACCCCGUCUCUACAAAAAAAUUCAAAAAUUAGCCGGGCAUGGCAGCGCACACCUGUAGUUCCAGCUACUCGGGAGGCUGAGGUAUGAGAAUCGCUUGAACCUGGGAAGUGAAGCUUGCAGUGAGUCAAGAUCCCACCACUGCACUCCAGCCUGGGCAACAAGAGUGAAACUCUGUCUCAAAUAAAUAAACAGCAGAACUUGGGGUUCCAGUGAUACUUGUUCUAUCUAAUACUGCUUUGUCUUGUAAUCACAAAAUAAUUGGCCAGUGUUAAGAUGACAGAGCCCACUGGGUGACCCUGGGGGUGUCUUUACCCCACUUCUCGGCUGAUACUCCACAAGUUCUUACUGAGAUCUUGCAGCAGCCAAGCAGAGAUCCACUGAGACUCAGAUGCAAGAUGUGCUCCUGGGCCUUUUCCUGAGAUAAAGAAAAUCACUCAGGGCUGGUCAUGGUGGCUCACACCUGUAAUCCAACAUUUUGGGAGGCUUAGGCAGGAGGAUUGCUUGAGCCCAGGAGUUGGAGACCAGCCUGGGCAACAAAGUGAAACCCCAUCUCUAC
rnacentral:lncRNA from 10 species